UGAGGAAUAUUCCCCAAUGGGCGAAAGCCUGAGGGAGCGACGCCGCGUGGAGGAUGAAGCCCUUUGGGGUGUAAACUCCUUUUUUAGAGGAUGAAACGGUGGGGUAACCUGCCUAAGACAGUACUCUAAGAAUAAGCCUCGGCUAACUACGUGCCAGCAGCCGCGGUAAUACGUAGGAGGCGAGCGUUGUCCGGAUUUACUGGGCGUAAAGCGCGCGCAGGCGGCUCUAUAAGUAAGGUGUGAAAUCUCCUGGCUCAACCGGGAGGGUGCAUUUUAGACUGUAGAGCUUGAGGUCGGUAGAGGGGGGUGGAAUUGCUGGUGUAGCGGUGAAAUGCGUAGAGAUCAGCAGGAACACCCGUGGCGAAGGCGGCCCCCUGGGCCGAUCCUGACGCUGAGGCGCGAAGGCUAGGGGAGCGACCCG
rnacentral:rRNA from 1 species